rnacentral:sRNA from 1 species
GCCGGUGCAGUGGCCCGUGCCUGUAAUCCCAGCGACUCCGGAGGCUGGGGCAGGAGGACCAAAGGUUCAAGGCCAGCCUCAGCAACCUAGCGAGGCCCUGAGCAACUCAGUGAGACCCUGUCUCUA